AUUCACACAUGCAUUUAGUCUUUUGUGAACUUUUACUUUUACUUCACUACAUUUCCUAAAUAACAUGUGUACUUUUACUCCGAUACAUUUCCACCUCUGCCUUUCCGUUACUUACUACAAAAUUAAAAGGGAAAAAAAGUCACGGUAAAGUAGGUUUCGAACCACAGGUGCUGGCCCACCUACACCUACAUCUCCAGCAGACUCAGAUGACCACCCGUGGCCAUAUCUGCAAGAGAUGUUUUCAUUUCUUGGCGUGAAGGAUUCCUCAUACCGAAUGAAGUGCCUCCUAUGCCUGGCGAAGGACACUGAAAUACUGGCUUUCAAAAACUCACCAUCCAACCUCAAGAAACACGUUGAGGUUCACACACAUUUGAUGUGCUGGAAAGUGCCCUAAAUGUAAAAGUAUGUGGCUGUCACGAGUCCAGUUUCCCAAGCCACCAACAUCUUGCAAGCAGAAGCAAAUAUCCAGAUGGGGUGGUUACUUCCAACAAUUAACCUGCUGACCACCAAACUUGACAGAGUCAAGCUGCCAUUAAAGUACUGCAAGCCUCUGGUGGAUGUCCUACAAGUGGGAAUAAAAAAUCGUUUUGGCCACAUGUUUGGGGACCCAGAGUUGAUUGCAGCUGCGAUUCUUCUUCCAAAAUUCAGAACAACUUGGACAAAAGCUGAUGCCAUAAUCAAAAUGGGAAUGGAAUACAUCAAGCAGCACAUGGAAGAACCCGCCAUAGGUGAUGCCACCAGGUCCAGUUCAUCAGAUGAAGAAGACUUCUUCUCUGUACUGCAAUCAUCUCCUGCACAAGAUAGCUCCAAACAACUGGAUGCAUACUUGUUUUGUGUAGCAGAUCACAUGGACUUGCUGAAAUCCUUCCCAGCUGUCUGCAAGUUGUCUGUGAAGCUGAACACACCUCUGCCUGCCUCAGCAGCGUGUGAAAGGCUGUUUAGCUGUGCAGGUCUUGUCUUCAGCCCAAGAAGAGCGAGGUUGGAUUCUUGUAAUUUUGAAAACCAACUUCUUUUGAGGUUAAACAGCAAAUUUUUCAGCUUUAAGUAAAGACUGUGUUGUUAAUGUGGGGGAGGAUGUGAAGAAUGAAGGACUAAGAGGAAGGGCUGACUGGGUUUAGGAAAAGAGAAAGGGACUGGACAAAUGGACAGUGAAGGAACAAAAGGGAAGGAAAAACUUUGUUUUGAAUUUGCUGAAUGGGAAAUGAGUGUGUGACCGCUAAAUGUCAGUCAUGGGUCUUCAUUAGAAAGGUGCAUGUUAUGGAAGCAGUGUUACACUACAGUUCAGUACAGGACAAUUUAGUUUUCAAGGCUGAUUUUUUUUAUGUACAGUAGGCUUUUGGUUUUUCUUGUCAUGGGGAAUUUAAGUUAAGAAUUUUAAGAAAAGAAGGCACA